CGCAUCUGUGCAUGCAGCAUAUCAAUAAGCGGAGGAAAAGAAACUAACAAGGAUUCCCCUAGUAACGGCGAGUGAAGCGGGAAGAGCUCAAAUUUGAAAUCUUAAAGGGUUUCCCUUUACGAAUUGUAGUUUAAAGAAGUGUUUUCUGUUGAGGUUUUGGUAAAAGUUCUUUGGAAUAGGACAUCAUAGAGGGUGAGAAUCCCGUAUUUGACCUUUACUUUCAACUUUGUGAUACACUUUCAAAGAGUCGGAUUGUUUGGGAAUGCAGUCCAAAAUGGGUGGUAAAUUUCAUCUAAAGCUAAAUAUUGGCGAGAGACCGAUAGCGAACAAGUACCGUGAGGGAAAGAUGAAAAGAACUUUGAAAAGAGAGUUAAACAGUACGUGAAAUUGUCAAAAGGGAAGCGUUUGACACCAGUGUUGUUUUUCUGAAAAUCAAUUAAAGAACUGUUUAUGCUAAGUUGUUUAGACUUUAUCAGCUAACUGUUUAGUUUUGAGCUUUUCUUUAAUGCACUUUCAGUUAACAAGUCAACAUCAAUUUCUUUUGCUGUAAAAAAGCUUGAGGAAGGUGGCUUGAGAUUCGUCUUAAGUGUUUAUAGCCUCUUGCCUAUGCAGUCGGAGAGAUUGAGGUCUGCAGCGUAGAUCCUUCGGGGCUAAAUGCAUUUGUGCUAAGUUAUAGCAUUUCAUAGACAACUUGUUGACUAUGAUUUGUCUUGUAGCUUACUCGCUUAUGUUAUUUUACCUACGCUUAGGAUGUUGACAGCAGUAUAGACUGU
rnacentral:rRNA from 1 species